GCUUUAUACAUGCAAGUCGAACGGCAGCACGGGGCUUCGGCCUGGUGGCGAGUGGCGAACGGGUGAGUAAUACAAUCGGAACGUACCCACGAAGUAGGGGGAGUAACGCAGCGAAAGUUGCGCUAAUACCGCAUACGUUCUACGGAGAAAUGGGGGAGUCUUCGGACCUCAUGCUUUUGGAGCGGCCGAUGUCUGAUUAGCUAGUUGGUGGGGUAAAGGCUCACCAAGGCGACGAUCAGUAGCUGGUCUGAGAGGACGACCAGCCACACUGGAACUGAGACACGGUCCAGACUCCUACGGGAGGCAGCAGUGGGGAAUUUUGGACAAUGGGCGCAAGCCUGAUCCAGCAAUGCCGCGUGAGUGAAGAAGGCCUUCGGGUUGUAAAGCUCUUUUGUCAGGGAAGAAACGGUUCCGGCUAAUAUCCGGGGCUAAUGACGGUACCUGAAGAAUGAGCACCGGCUAACUACGUG
rnacentral:rRNA from 1 species